GACGAACGCUGGCGGCAGGCCUAACACAUGCAAGUCGAACGCACCUUCGGGUGAGUGGCGGACGGGUGAGUAACACGUGGGAACGUGCCCUUUGGUACGGAACAACUGAGGGAAACUUCAGCUAAUACCGUAUGUGCCCCCAUUCUUAGCGGGAUGGACGGGAAAGAUUUAUCGCCAUUGGAGCGGCCCGCGUUGGAUUAGGUAGUUGGUGGGGUAAAGGCCUACCAAGCCGACGAUCCAUAGCUGGUCUGAGAGGAUGAUCAGCCACACUGGGACUGAGACACGGCCCAGACUCCUACGGGAGGCAGCAGUGGGGAAUCUUGCGCAAUGGGCGAAAGCCUGACGCAGCCAUGCCGCGUGAAUGAUGAAGGUCUUAGGAUUGUAAAAUUCUUUCACCGGGGAAGAUAAUGACGGUACCCGGAGAAGAAGCCCCGGCUAACUUCGUGCCAGCCGCCGCAGUAA
rnacentral:rRNA from 1 species